GUACAUCAUUUGCUCAGAGGCAACGUGGGAUUUUUGGGCCAAUUACUGCAUACCCAAGCUUAUUCGCUACUUGGGCUGAGUCACAUCAACAUGAGGAUGGGUCGUGGACAAGUGAGCUCAGGGCUAAGCAGCAUUUUUGUAGGUGGAGUCUAUGAACA